UUUUAAUAAUAUUUAUUUAUUUUUGGGAGAGAGAGAGAGAGAGAGAGAGAGAGAGAGAAAGCAGGGGAGGAACAGAGAGAGAGGGAGACAGAAUCCGACGUAGGCUCCGGGCUCUGAGCUGUCAGCACAGAGCCCGACGCGGGGCUGGAACCACGAACCAGGAGUUCAUGACCUGAGCUGAAGUUGGACGCUUAACCGACUGAGCCACCCAGGCACCCCUGUUGUUCUGCAGUCUUAAAUAAAUGUCCUUAACUCCCUGGGUCUGUCCUCAAACAAUCCUGUUUCUUUAACUCCUUAAAAUGUGACUUGCACACCCCGAAUUUUGCUGAAAUGCAGUCAUCCAUGAAGUUAUUUUUGCUCAAUAUUUCUUUUGUUCUCGUUGCUGACGUCUCUGUGAAAUUUGGUACUUACUGGAAUCUGAGCUCACGCGUCUCUGAAUCCAUGACUAAUGCAAGUCAGAACCAAGUUUAUUGAUGACGGCCCUUUUCCUCCUUAGGGAUCAAAGUUUUCCAAUGUAUAUACUGAUUACGGCUCUCAAAUUAGCUCUAAGCCUAUUUGCAUGUAAUGCAAGAAUCGCUACCUAUGCAGGAGUAAUCUUUUUCUCUCCAACGGCAGAGAACAUCUUCUUAUAUUAAAUCA
rnacentral:lncRNA from 1 species